rnacentral:rRNA from 1 species
UACGGAAGGCAGCAGUGGGGAAUAUUGCACAAUGGGCGAAAGCCUGAUGCAGCGACGCCGCGUGAGGGAUGACGGCCUUCGGGUUGUAAACCUCUUUCAGCAGGGAAGAAGCCACAAGUGACGGUACCUGCAGAAGAAGCGCCGGCUAACUACGUGCCAGCAGCCGCGGUAAUACGUAGGGCGCAAGCGUUGUCCGGAAUUAUUGGGCGUAAAGAGCUCGUAGGCGGUUUUGUCGCGUCUGCUGUGAAAGCCCGGGGCUUAACCCCGGGUGUGCAGUGGGUACGGGCAGACUAGAGUGCAGUAGGGGAGACUGGAAUUCCUGGUGUAGCGGUGGAAUGCGCAGAUAUCAGGAGGAACACCGAUGGCGAAGGCAGGUCUCUGGGCUGUUACUGACGCUGAGGAGCGAAAGCAUGGGGAGCGAACAGGGAUUAGGAUACC